rnacentral:lncRNA from 1 species
UAGUAAAGUUAGAUGUACAUUUAUGCUAGUCUCAAUGAGAGUUUUAUUCGAGUUUUAUCUGCAUUUAAUAAGCUAUCACAUAAGUAUUUUUUAUGAUGUGUCACCAUAUUUAAGAAAAGAGAGAAGAAAUGAGUUUCAUGGAGAUAAAAUUCUCUUGGUACAAUUACGAACUCUGUAUAAACUAUGGCAUUAAUGUUUAUGAAACUAUAGAAUGAAACUAUACAUUGAAAGUGGUUCUUUCAUUUAAGUUUUAUUUUAUUUUAUUUUUUAGAAAGGACGGCAAAAGCUUUGCCGUGGGUUUUAUUAGACGAUAAAAAGAAAAACAAAACAUGUAUAGAGAAAAAACAUCCUGAAAAUUUACCAGAUGAAACAAAUCUGCCCCUCCACAACUACAAAGAAACCAAAAACAACUCCCUAAAAACAAAAAAAAAACAGCAUAUUUCAUUUUAUUUGAUGUGUCAUUCUUAGAAACAACGUUAUGGAACUUGCCACUGAGAUUGGCUUUAGGAGAAAUAGAAAGCCUUGAAGUUACUUCACUUUACUAUAAAUAAUGGUGUAGGUGGGUAUUUUUAAAAGAGAUUAUAGGUCAACUAAUGUUUAUUAUUAUAAUGGUGAAAAUCUAUUAAAUUAAUGGUCUAAAUCUUUCUGAUUUUUCGUGUUUCAUUUUCUGGGUCAACUCUAAGCUUUCAAGAUCAUGCGUGAGAGCUAAACAAUCGUGGUGCUGUCAUGACUUCACUUCGCUUUAUUGCUCUAUGUUUAUCGUGCUCUUGGCUGUCAAAAUUGCCAUAGUUGACAAAGCAUACUGUAUCA